CUCCAACUCUGUUGUUCUUUUAUGAGAGGGUCUGGUUCUGGGUCCUGUGCCAGUACCAUAUGAAUUUUAGGAUCCGCUGGUUAGUUUCUAGAAAAAGCCAGUGGUGGUUCUGACAGGGGUUGCUUCGAAUCUGUAGACCAUUGAAUCUGCAGCUGGGAAACAUUGUCAUCCUGACGAUACUGUCUUCCAAUGGUGAACAUGCGGUGUUUUCCCAUGUAUUUAGGUCUUUAAUUCCUUCCGAUAAUAAAACCACAGGUCUUUUUGAAAGCUGCUUGAGUGAAUCAGAACAGCUGAUCUUCUCAGAAUGCCUGCUCUACCAACUCCCUGCAAGAGCAAAGUGCAGAGGCCCCACCCCGUCCAGCAGUUUGGCGGAGGAGAGCAGGUUUGGGUUCUGUUCUACCCCGUAGCAGCCUCCUGCCUCCCGCGGGCCUCGGCCCUCGGCCCUCAGCAGCCUGCCCAGGCAGAUGGGUGCUCGUCACCCCAUCUCCUUGCUCCUUCGGUUCAGAGGGCCUGGGUGUUCUCCUGAUGUUGGUUUUAAGCAGCCCCUGGUCGCAGCCAGGGGGUCCUGCCUCAGGGUGCCCUGCCAUCCUGACUGGCGCUCCUACACGUGUAAGAGGGAGUCACUUGAUAUAGCACACGUAUGUCCACUGCUCUCAGCUCAGCUUCCUGCAUUGCGGUGGCACCUGUGUUACAGAUCAGGUGGCCACACACAUAUGGAUCUGUUUCCGGACUGUAUUUCAUGAAGUUGUCUCGUCUUGCCUUCAUACCAAACUGUAUUACUUACUAUGGCCUAAGAGACCUUGUUUGGGUAGUGUUAGGGACUCUGAAUACUUGUCUCCCCAGAUCCAUAUGUUGAAGCCCUCCUGCCCCCCCCCACCCCCAGCAGUGUGAUGAUAUUUGGGGAUGGACCUUUGGGAGGUGAUUAGGUUUAAAUGAGAUCAUGGGGGUGAGCCCCCUGUGAUGGGAGUCAUACCCUAUAGGAGCUGAAAGCCCUUUUUCUGUCUGUAUGUGAGCACAGGGAGAAGGCAGCUGCCCACAAGCCAGGAAGAGGGCCCUCACCAACAACCACACCUGUCGGCACCUUGUUCUUAGACACGCAGCCUCCAGAACUGCUGAAACAAGAAUGCAGUCAAAGGAACCUGUCAGUGACAGGAGAGAAAGAGCUGCAAGCCAAAACAUGCAAAACCAGCCUUUCAUUGAGGAGAAAAUGAAAAAUACAGAAUGAAAUGAAGGGGAGUUUCAAGAACUUGCAGGAGCCGAGCUUCUGUGCAAAUGAGAAGCCCGGGGCAGAUGGCGCCCUCGUUAUCCUCGUUAUCGUCGGUGCCCAUGCUGGUGGAUGCAGACCGGCCGCGGUGCAGAGGGUCCACUUUCCCGCUGCCGUGGACCCGGAACCGCUUGGUGGCAUCCCAGGUGGGCCUGGGAGGGCACAGAACACAGCAGAAUCAGACGCGGGAAGGAGCGACACAUCGCAACAGGUUUGUGCUUUUGUGUGUGUGUGUGUGUGUAGACACCCUAAUCUCCAAAUGAAAUCGUAACAGUUGUGUUGUAAGCCUGUGAUAAAAUAGCACAAAGGUUCUUUAAAGAAGUCCACUUUUAAGGCAUCAGAGAAGUUAAUGUGGCAAACAUUUUAAUUAAAACAUCAGAAGUAAAUUUUAUUUUAAACUUUAGGCCUCUGAAUUUUUCCAGUAAACACAGUUCAGCUAUGUGGCAAAGUCGUGGGUGGCAGCUAAAAUGACUUUUUACAUUCUACAGAAAAAUAAGGACACAGCCCCAAACGGUGUCCCCUCUUCACGGCUGUUCCACAUGCACGAAAUCUACUAGGAUUUUCACAGCCGAGUGGCACCGUUUUUGUGUUGACUAUACAACAACCUUUGUUUUCAAAAGUAUUUGUUCAGAUAACUUAAAAAUAAUAUAAAAAUAAACAAUGAAUUUGACUUUUCCUCAAAAUAAAAAAGAAAGAAAAAAAAAAAGGAUGGGAAGUCUAAACAAAAGCAAAUCUUUGAAGGACAAAUGAAAUUCCAGGACACCGGUUCACUUUAACAAAGCAGAUCAGAGAGACAGCUCUUGGCUUAACGGUGUUCCCAACACCGGGCCGUGAUCAAAAACCGAUACAGACAGGAAAAAGAAAACAGCGGUAAAAGCAAUGUACAAAAUCUCAAAGAUAAAUACAAUAUUUAUAAUCGAUAUGUUACAAAAGAAAGUCCCUUAGCAACUGUAAGUGUUCAUGGAAAAGUGUUGAAUGGAGACCAUUUUAUUCCUUAUGAGACACAUAAGGAAGAAAACGUGUUUUUUCUAAAUAUUUAAGUGGAUCUGAAAAAAAUUCAAGACAAGUGUAUAAAUAUUUAGCUACAACUUUGGCAAAAUCACAAAAGUCUACAAUUUUAUAACCACAUACAAAACACAUUAGGGAAGAAGGAGCUAGAAGUCAAAAGGACAACUUCUGGUACAAGAAACAUGGACCUCACAGUAGCCUAAGAAUGCAAUAGUAUACAGUGCUAGCAAAAGUUGAAAAAAUGUUGCAGAUCACACUUGCUUAACAGGAAGUUCUAGCGGUGGGAGAAGAUUUCAACCAACAGACAGUAGCAUUUUUUUUUUCUGUCAGUGUGCUUGUUGAAGGCAAGAGAAUUCAAUAUCAAAGUUACAAUUUCUAACUACAAUAAGUUACAAAGUUUCAUUUCAUUAAGAUGAAGGUAAGCAAUGAUAAACCCUCCCUCCCUCCCUGCCACCCGAAUUCAAGUCCUCCUUCCUUCCAGUUCGAUGGCUCACGCCUCCUUGGCCCCCCUUUUUUUUUUUUCACCACAAAAAAAUAUUUCACAUUAUAGAGAUACACAACCAUUGUGAAUCUAAGUAUGAGCACAGAAAAAUGGUUGGAGGCAUUUUUCAUCAGUGUUUCAUGAUAAUCAAAAUGGUGCAUUCACAAAGUUUCUCCCAACACAUAGCAAGUACUAGACAUAGCCAAGACGGAGUCAGAAACUUUAUACAAAAUAGGCGUCACUUUGUUUUCCUUAGUCUUCAGAUCUGAGAAAUGUGAAAAUAUGAGAAAAGUUCAGUCAAUAAAAUGGAAUUGUUCAUGAAGAAGUAGGCUGUUUGCAUGUUGAUUCUUAAUAGUUUAAAUAAAAUCUUUAAACAAAGUCUUUUGUAGCGUCUCCGCUGCUGCUGACAGCUUGAAGAUCACGGUCUCCAGCAGCAGGCCCUCUACGCUAAACGUGUCCCCUGAAGUCCGUCGUGGUGCCGGGUGCUGCGGAGGGGGGAGCGAGCCCCUCACAUCGGCGGGACUACCAGCCCAGACAUAGCUGAAAGAGAGAGGCGGCAGCCCAGGGGCCCCCGAAGGCGCGCACAGAAGCUGGGGAGGCGUGGAAGGCACCGGAGUCAGAGGAGCAUCUCGAAUACCCUCACGUCUGCUCCCCGGAGACCUCCGGAGCAGACCUCCAGCGGGACGAAGGUGGGCCGUGGGUGCCCGUCUUUCCCUCCCAGGCCGGCAGCACCAGCCGUCCACCUACCACCGGAUCCCCCGGACGGAUUUCGAGGUGGCUGUUCCCUGUGACAAGUCCUGCUGCUCCGGCUCCCUGACACUGACGUGUGACUUUCUACUCACAUACCCGGGGUGAGGGUGAAAACAGGAAGGCGAACCUUUCUCCCACCAGACUGAGUGGUCGUGAACGGGUGUGUGUGCGCCCAGAAAACCCGCGGUGGACCCCGGCCAGCCGGCCCCUCCGAGGACACGGUCAGCCUGGGGAGGGGGCAGGCACGUCAGGCUGCCGUCUGCCUACCUGGUUGUUGUGGGGCAUCCCGUAUAAGGCUUCCACAAGAUCCGCCGCCCUCUUGAGUAAUACUUCCUGAAGGAGAAACAAAAGGGGCGUUGAUGUGACCGGAGGAAGCUGAGUACUGCUCUUCGGAGCAAGAGCUACAUGCAGAUUCACAGUUCCACCUGCCGGGAGAAGAGGCCCCUUCCCCACCCCAGC